AAAUAAAUAUAAAACUAUGUGUAGUGGAUGGGAGUUCAGGCGUCUGUGCCUUUAAGACACAGUGGCCGUAUUGUGUCACACCUGACUGACGUCACUAGAUGCGACACUCAGUGUACCAAUUAAGGCAGAGAGGGUUAAAGCGGAGUAAUCAAGGAUCUUUGAUUAAGGGCUCCGGUGUUUCUUUAAAAAGUAUGGCGCUGGUACUGCCACUGCAGCGGCAGAGUUUUGUUUGAUUGUUUACCGUGUGUCGGUGUUCAAUGCGGGUUUCUUCGGCGAGCUGGAGCCUGUGGAUAUUCGUCUCUUGACUGCAAAGGGUGCAGUUGUUGGCGUUGUGCUUAAUAGCAUCAUUGGCGGUGCUUUUGCUGUCCUUCCCCUUGAGAGCAACCGGAGUGUUGCAGGCCAGAGGCUAGGAGGUUUCUGCCUUUUCGUAUCGGUACGUAGCAGUCUUUUAUACUGAUUGUAUCGCCCGUAGCAUGAUCACAUUUGACCCGCUGUAACUGCCCUCAUUAGGCUGCUUAGGUUGACUGUACGCCCCUCCCCGUUGCGAGGAAGUCCCUGUGAAUCCCCGGUUGCGGUGGCCUGCGCACUGCAAGUAACUGAGGCUUCCUUCUCCCACUGACUGCUGUUUUGUUUACAGUGAACUAUAAUACAACUACCUUUUGAUCUGCGUCCUUCCCGCGUGCCCAGAUCCUCAGCGUGGUAAAGGGUCUGCAUGCAUGAUUGUGUGGUGCCAUUGAUUGACUGGGUGUGUGUGUGCAUGCGUAAUUGUGAGGUGUGGGGUGCAUGUGUACUGUAUGUGUAUGUGGUUGUGUGUGCAUGUGGUUAUUUGGUUAGUUUUGUUUGGGUUUGUGUAGUUUCCUCAUUUUGUGUGUCAUAUAUUUUGUUUGUUUUGUCUCUGUAUUUUCUUUGUCCUUUUUGUGAAACCCCAUUGGUGGCAUGUUCCUCCCCAUGUCGUGGCACCUAACACCGUUUCGUCUGCCUGGGUAUUUGUAGUGCUUUCUUUCUAACGUGCCUUGCUGUGCCUGUUUGAGGGUGUAUUGGUUUGCUGUGCUGAAUGUAUCUGUCUGUGUAAUCCCACUUUUGUUUUAUAACCGCCUAAUCAGACGGAAGGGGACAUCUAUCGGCCAUAGAGGCCUGGGCCAUAUGCUGUAUAACCGGUGUGGGUUUUGCUGUGUCUUACCCCUUUUCUUUUGUUUCAGGAGUGGAGGCUCUCGGCAGGGAGGCUGGGCCCCUGGUGGUAGGGAAUCUGUGUGUCUCACCGUCAGUGCAGUGUAGUGUCACCUUGGUGUGCCGUGUUCACGUGUGGUCUCUUUGACCCCUCUUCCAGAUCGCCUCCCUGCGGUAAGCCCUCCCUCCUAGUUUAUGUGUGUUUUCCUAUACCCAAAGAACCAGUAGGCCUACUCUAACCAAACCAGUUCUGAGUGUGUGUGGCUGCCCCAUUUCCAUCUGAGUGCUUUGCAAACAUCACUAAUGUUGUAGACAUUACUUUAUUCUGAGAUGCAUCAAUAGGCUCUCAAAACAAUCCUAAACAGACAUAAGGUUAUUAUAGAGCAAAUCCAUAUAGAUUAUUUGUCAAAUAAACCAGUAAAACAGAAUUAGGGGAUGGA